AGGGAAAUAAGAUAUAAGAGCAGCUGCUAACUAGCUUUUAAAGCGGUUAAACUCCGUUUUUUCCUUA
rnacentral:tRNA from 1 species